rnacentral:rRNA from 1 species
GGUCCCUAUCCGCUGCGCGCGUAGGAGUCUUGAGAAGGGCUGUCCCUAGUACGAGAGGACCGGGACGGACGGACCUCUGGUGUGCCAGUUGUUCUGCCAAGGGCAUGGCUGGUUGGCUACGUUCGGGAAGGAUAACCGCUGAAAGCAUCUAAGCGGGAAGCCUGCUUCGAGAUGAGGACUCCCACCCCCUGUGAGGGGUUAAGGCUCCCUGGAGAUGACGGGGUUGAUAGGCCGGAUCUGGAAGCACGGUAACGUGUGGAGGUGACCGGUACUAAUAGGCCGAGGGCUUGUCCAU